AUCUUUCUAGUAUCUAAAUAGUACAGGUGUCUUCCAAACACUCAGUCUUGGUUAAAAUCCAAGGAAAGAUA
rnacentral:tRNA from 1 species